AUAUCGACCAGUCUUUAAAAACCUUUUCUCCUAACCACUCUGCAUUCUCCUCUCUUACGCGUGUCUCAAUGACACAUCCAAACUGCAAAUUCUGAUUCUCUACCCAUUUCUUGAUGACGGAAUGUUUAUGAGAUUUAUUUAGACCACGGACAUUCCAAAAGAAACCCGACAUUUAUUGUGGUUUGGGGAGGUUCCUUGCACUCUGAUCUCUAGAAGGAUUUCUAGAAGAUUGAGCAGAAGGUUUCUGAAGAAUUCUGUGGGCUGAUUUGGAGACACGAGGUAGAGAAGGUCGUGUUGCUAACUUUGUGUCAUGAUCCGUAGCCUUCCGUGGGACCUGCUGGGCCAGUGGUGGCUUCAGAUUAUCUUUUCCAGAAGUAGGAACGAUAGGAACUGCUUCCCUGCUGACCAAUUCCUCGUCAACAUGUUCACUUAGAACAGAGUAGGCAUUGGAGAGCAUUGAAAUUGAUCCCGAUUUCGGUUCUGGCGUGUGCUUCGCCGGGCUGCAACUCAUUUUUGGUGUAAUCCACACUUGAGUAUCAUCCUCAACUAGCCUCUGCUUAUCAUCUUCUGUAGGAGCGGAAGUUUGCAGCUCCUCAGUAACAGAGAACACUGUAACUUCCAAAGCAGGCUGAGACAGAACUUCGGAUUGUGGACACUGUAGUAUCUUCAGAGCUCAUAGUCACUUGAGUGGUCUCCUGCGCAGUAACCAAGCAAGUGUCCGUCGAGUGCCCCCAUUUUUUACAACCAUUACACCUUGGGGGUAGCCACGGGUAAGAGUACGUGAUGACAGCAUCAAGUUCUCCUUCUUCUGUACCCUUGAUAACAAACUCUGUGGGUAAGUCUUUUGUUAAAUCCGCUUCCACUCAAUAUUAUGUUAUAGUC
rnacentral:lncRNA from 1 species